GUGGAGGUUGUCUAGAGGUUUAAGACGCUGCCCUCCCAUCUAGCUAAGAUACGGAUAGGCAGAAACGUGGGUUCGAAUCCCACCCUUCGCA